GAAUUCUUCAGUUGGAACAGACAACCAAUGGCAUGGAACCUUCACCAUCAUGUCUACAAUCUGACAGUGGAAACGAAUGUUGAGCUGUGGUCUACAUGGUCACAUGGACUUAAGAGUACCCCUCACAUAGGGCACUCUUUCUGGGUUGAGAACCUCAGGUACAAUGUAGCACCAAUAGUUGGGAUGAGAACUGAUCUGCAGACCUGAAGCGAGAUACAGACUGCUAAGAAGCUCCUGAAAGAACCAUAGUGCCUACUAUUUCUGGCUCCUGGGGCCUCAGCUGACUGCAAAAAUAUCCUUCAAUAAAUCUCACUAAGAUGCACA
rnacentral:lncRNA from 1 species